rnacentral:rRNA from 1 species
UACGUAGGGCGCAAGCGUUGUCCGGAAUUAUUGGGCGUAAAGAGCUCGUAGGCGGCUUGUCACGUCGGGUGUGAAAGCCCGGGGCUUAACCCCGGGUCUGCAUUCGAUACGGGCAGGCUAGAGUGUGGUAGGGGAGAUCGGAAUUCCUGGUGUAGCGGUGAAAUGCGCAGAUAUCAGGAGGAACACCGGUGGCGAAGGCGGAUCUCUGGGCCGUUGCUGACGCUGAGGCGCGACAGCGUGGGGAGCAAACAGG